rnacentral:rRNA from 1 species
AGCAGCCGCGGUAAUUCCAGCUCCAAUAGCGUAUAUUAAAGUUGUUGCAGUUAAAAAGCUCGUAGUUGAAUUUCGGGAUUGGCGCAUCGGUCGUGCCUCACGGGGUAUGAACUGGUGCAGUCAAUUUCUCACCUUCUGGAGAACCGCGAUGUCCUUAAUUGGAUGCCGCGGGGAACCAGGACCUUUACUUUGAAAAAAUUAGAGUGUUUAAAGCAGGCAUUUUUGCUUGAAUACAUUAGCAUGGAAUAAUAAAAUAGGACGGCAUGGUUCUAUUUUGUUGGUUUCUAGGACCACCGUAAUGAUUAAUAGGGAUAGUUGGGGGCAUUAGUAUUCAAUUGUCAGAGGUGAAAUUCUUGGAUUUAUUGAAGACUAACUACUGCGAAAGCAUUUGCCAAGGAUGUUUUCAUUAAUCAAGAACGAAAGUUAGGGGAUCGAAGACGAUCAGAUACCGUCGUAGU